UUUGGAAAAUGUUUGGAUUUUUAUAAAUUGUGGCCAGUUGAAAUUUAUUUGUUUGGAAAUGUCAGUAUAAAUUACAAAUGGCGCGCUUUUGAAAGUUUUCUGUUUUGUAAUAAAAAGUAAAGGCGGCUUUUCCGAUCCAAUUCACGUGGGUGGGAGGACUAGUACAUGCAAGAGGUUGGAGCUUGCCCAAGGAGUACGCAGGCCGAUUGGGUCUAAGCCCAUUGGAAGUGGAUGAAGAAGACUACCAGACUCUGGUGCAGCCGUUACCGAAGGUGAAGGGGACUGACGAUGAGACCUAGUUGCCUAAAUCGAACUUAAGAGGACUUCCAGAAGCUGACGCUGAGCCCGAAGGAGAAAAGCGACCAUUUCGCUGAGUGGAGAGAAAUGGCUCAAGGAAGCCCACUGAUUUAAGACAGAAUGGCAGACAAGAAUCCUCUCAGCAUCCUAAAGGAUGUUAUCCAUAAACUAAGCUGUGAAACAUAUUUGCUCAAAGAGGACGAGCGGUUCGAAAUCACAAAUGGACGGGUGCAGCUGUUGGGAUGAAGAGCGCCCCAACAGAAGACCGAAACGAGCACGUCAUUCAGUUACAAAUUCCCGGUACACAUCGUUAGCACACCAGGAUAGUUCCACCUGUUAUCGUUGAAAAACUAUAGAACUUUUUUUUUGCUUUUAUCUUUAGGACGUAAUAGCUUUUCGUUUAAA